CAGUGAAAAAGCACAGAGAAGGAGGGACAUCCAGCAGUCUCCUGCAGCAAGACGGAGUCUCUACUGAGCAGCCCCUUCAACAGGACACCUCAUCAUCAGCAGCAGGACCGGUUCAACGUUCUUCAGAUGGACAAGAACGGGGAGUUCAGGACACCCUGAGAUAUGGGGUCGGCAACAGUAGAGAAGUAUUGGGAACAUUCAAUAAAUCCGGCCAGCGGAGAAGCACGUUUCGCCGCCAGCUGCGCAGCUGCAGCGUCCCGAGUAGCUUUGCUGCCAACUGAAUUCAGGUGGAGAUCCAUUUGCCCUACGAUGGAAGUGGCAGGCGCCGGAGCGGAAGCAAUGUUAGUUCAUCGCCCCUGGACUGGUGCUGACAUCACAUCAGCAGCCUCCCUCCUUCCUGAGCCGAGAGAAGACGGUGUCAAGAUUGCCACAGAACUGAAGGCCCUGUGCAAUGAAAUGCGUCCCACUGGUGCUGAAAUACGACGCAUGGCUGCAAAAAUCAAACCCAGCGAUCUUGCCUGCCUGACUGAAUAUCUCCCUGAUCCUGAUGUCCGUCUCAGAAAUGUGGACCAUAAAAAUGAGAGUUCCAGCACUGACCCCACCGCCCGUUACUGUAUGUCUAUAGAGGUGCUGCAACGGCCUACAAGAACAUUAGGUCAUAAAUAUAAAUGCUAGGCCCAGGAUCAGACUGCUCCGAACUUUCAUGUGAGGAAAGUUUGUGUUCAAAAUUAGACAAAUUCUCUCAGUUUGGAGUCCUGAACAGAAUUACCACUGCUAGGGAUCCUCUAAGGGUCCGCGAGCCAUAUAUUGGGGAAACUGUGUAGGGAAAAUUGUACUUACUAAAAGUUCAGCAAAGAACUCACAAAAUUAUGCCACUAAAUUACACCAACUAAAAAUAAAUGACACAAAAUUCUAAGCUUGAUAUGUCAUUUUGGGAAAGGCAGAGUAAUCUUGAUUCAAUUAUAAUUACAAAAUAAAAAGCACGCAUUUUCAAGGGUAGAUAAUCAAUAAUAAUCAAUGAAUAGGCCAGGAUCUAAUGAAUGUGUCUAAUAAUGACAUACCCAGACAAGAUCCAUUCCCCUUACUACUGCAAAUGUUUUAACAGGGCUGUGACAUUAUCACCCGCUGAUGGGCAAAGAUAGCAAUUUGUUCUGAUUAAAAGUUAACUACUGAGUCUAAGCUGAUGAUUUAUGAGAUCAUUAGAGUUCUUUACAAAGGCAGGCGUUGUAAAACAAACAAUAGCUGGUGUAUGAUGAAUAGAUGAAGUGUGAUUCAUUAUGGUUGCAGUGUAAUUAACAGUUUCAAGGAGGAUUUUUAACAUUUGUUGAUUUCAGGUUGAUGUUUGCUGACUGAAAAACAGCAACAAAAAAG